rnacentral:tRNA from 1 species
GCGUACGUGGUGUAGUGGUUAGCACGGAUGUCUUCCAAGCAUUCGAAGGGGGUUCCAUUCCCUCUGGGCGCA